rnacentral:tRNA from 2 species
GGGCUCGUAGCUCAGCUUGGUUAGUGCACUGUUUCGUGAACAAGUGGUCCUGGGUUCAAAUCCCAGCGGGCCCA